rnacentral:rRNA from 1 species
UACGAAGGGGGCUAGCGUUGCUCGGAAUCACUGGGCGUAAAGCGCACGUAGGCGGACUCUUAAGUCAGGGGUGAAAUCCUGGAGCUCAACUCCAGAACUGCCUUUGAUACUGGGAGUCUUGAGUUCGGGAGAGGUGAGUGGAACCGCGAGUGUAGAGGUGAAAUUCGUAGAUAUUCGCAAGAACACCAGUGGCGAAUGCGGCUCACUGGCCCGAUACUGACGCUGAGGUGCGAAAGCGUGGGGAGCAAACAGG